GUCUUUUUGAUAAAUAAUUUAAAGUCUAAUCUGCCCCCUGAAAUUAUUUUAAAGGGCUGCGGUAUCUUAACCGUACAAAGGUAGCAUAAUAAUUAGGUUUUUAAUUGAAAUCUUGAAUGAAUGAUUGGACGAGAUAUGAGCUGUUUUAAAAUAUAAAUUUGAAUUUAAUUUUUUAGUUAAAAAGCUAAAAUAUUUUUAAAAGACGAGAAGACCCUAUAAAUCUUUAUAAUUAAUUUAUUUUAAUUAAUUAUUUUAAUAAAAUUAAUUUAAAUAAUAAAAUUAUUUUAUUGGGGUGAUAUAAAAAUUUUUUAAACUUUUUAUAAUUAUAAUACUAUGAUUAAAGAUUCAUAAAAUAUAUGAUCUAUUAAUAAUAAUUAAAAGAAAAAGAUACUUUAGGGAUAACAGCGUAAUUUUAAUAUUAAGUUCAUAUUAUUAUUAAAGAUUGCGACCUCGAUGUUGGAUUAAAAUUUAAUUUAAAUGCAAAAGUUUAAAAAUUAAGUCUGUUCGACUUUUAAAAUUUU
rnacentral:rRNA from 1 species